rnacentral:rRNA from 1 species
UACAGAGGUGGCAAGCGUUGUUCGGAUUUAUUGGGCGUAAAGGGUCCGUAGGCGGUUUGGAAAGUCAGAUGUGAAAUCCCACAGCUCAGCUGUGGAACUGCAUUUGAAACUUCCAGACUAGAGUAUGAGAGGGGUUAAGGGAAUUCCCGGUGUAAGGGUGAAAUCUGCAGAGAUCGGGAGGAACACCAGUCGCGAAGGCGCUUAACUGGCUCAUUACUGACGCUCAGGGACGAAAGCUAGGGUAGCAAACGGG